AGUAUUGGACAAUGGGGGCAACCCUGAUCCAGCCAUGCCGCGUGUGUGAAGAAGGUCUUCGGAUUNUCAAGCACUUUAAGUUGGGANGAAGGGCUUUAGGUUAAUACCCUGAAGUUUUGACGUUACCAACAGAAUAAGCACCGGCUAACUCUGUGCCAGCAGCCGCGGUAAUACAGAGGGUGCAAGCGUUAAUCGGAAUUACUGGGCGUAAAGCGCGCGUAGGUGGUUCAGUAAGAUGGGUGUGAAAUCCCCGGGCUUAAUCUGGGAACUGCUUUCAUAUAUGAUGAGAUAGAGUACGGUAGAGGGUAGUGGAAUUUCCUGUGUAGCGGUGAAAUGCGUAGAUAUAGGAAGGAACACCAGUGGCGAAGGCGACUACCUGGACUGAUACUGACACUGAGGUGCGAAAGCGUGGGGAGCAAAC
rnacentral:rRNA from 1 species